GAGUUUGAUCGUGGCUCAGAUUGAACGCUGGCGGUAUGCUUAACACAUGCAAGUCGAACGGUAACAGGCUAGCUUGCUAGCGCUGACGAGUGGCGGACGGGUGCGUAACGCGUAGGAAUCUGCCUAUUAGUGGGGGACAACCUGGUGAAAACCAGGCUAAUACCGCAUACGCCCUACGGGGGAAAGCAGGGGAUCUUCGGACCUUGCGCUAAUAGAUGAGCCUGCGUUAGAUUAGCUUGUUGGUGAGGUAAUGGCGUCACCAAGGCGACGAUCUAUAGCUGGUCUGAGAGGACGAUCAGCCACACUGGGACUGAGACACGGCCCAGGACUCCUACGGGAGACAGCAGUGGGG
rnacentral:rRNA from 1 species